rnacentral:rRNA from 1 species
AUUGAACGCUGGCGGCAUGCCUUACACAUGCGAGUCGAACGGCAGCACGGGUGCUUGCACCUGGUGGCGAGUGGCGAACGGGUGAGUAAUACAUCGGAACAUGUCCUGUAGGGGGGGAUAGCCCGGCGAAAGCCGGAUUAAUACCGCAUACGAUCUACGGCUGAAAGCGGGGGACCUUCGGGCCUCGCGCUAUAGGGUUGGCCGGUGGCUGAUUAGCUAGCUGGUGGGGUAAAGGCCUACCAAGGCGACGAUCAGUAGCUGGUCUGAGAGGAAGACCAGCCACACUGGGACUGAGACACGGCCCUGACUCCUACGGGAGGCAGCAGUGGGGAAUUUUGGCCAAUGGGCGAAAUCCUGCUCCAUCAAUGCCGCGUGUGUGAAGAAGGCCUUCGGGUUGUAAAGCACUUUUGUCCGGGAAGAACGCCUUGGCUCUAAUACGGUCGGGGGAUGACGGUACCGGAAGAAUAAGCACCGGCUAACUACGUG